UACAGAGGGUGCAAGCGUUGUUCGGAAUUACUGGGCGUAAAGCGCGUGUAGGCGGCGGCGUUAGUCGGGUGUGAAAUCCCUCAGCUCAACUGAGGAAGUGCAUUCGAUACUGCGUCGCUUGAAUGUCGGAGGGGAUGGCGGAAUUCCCGGUGUAGAGGUGAAAUUCGUAGAUAUCGGGAGGAACACCUGUGGCGAAGGCGGCCAUCUGGACGACAAUUGACGCUGAGACGCGAAAGCGUGGGUAGCAAACAGG
rnacentral:rRNA from 1 species